rnacentral:lncRNA from 1 species
CCUCAACUAACAGAUCCAAAAAAUUAACAGAGAGUUCACUUCUAAAAGGGGCAAUUUGGGCAUUUAAAAGUUAUUGCUAGAGAAAUAGAAAACUUCAAAAAAAAAUCCCUGCAUAACCUAGUUCUACACAACGAAGAAGUCUCGAUCUAUUUGGUGUGGAUGUGCAAUGGAAUUGCAUUCUAAAAGUGGGUUGCAAUCCACUCCAUCAAUUACCUUAUAGUAUCUCCAAGCCUCAUAUAUAUCCAGAUUGAGC